rnacentral:lncRNA from 1 species
UAUGCUGAGCACUAUCUAGUUUCCAAAAAUCAGCUUUUGUUCACUGGUGGCAUGAAAGAUGUCAUCUUAGAGCCAGCAUCCAGUCAGUGUUACAAACUGCAACAAUCACCUUGCUGUCUCACUUGGAGAACAGAGGAUGGGUGGUCAACACAAAGUCCAGGGGCCAGGCUUAUCAAUCAAAUACCUGGGUGUCAUCUUGUUGGAUGGUGUGCAGCAAACCUCUUUGCCGACUGGGUGCAGAUGGUGGCAUCUCUCCAGAAAAAAUCCAGACUGUUGGGUGUGCGAAGAGCUGUCCUCUCCACCGCAGGCCUGCCACUGAGCAUUCUCUUCUUCAGUCUCUUGAACUUGGUGCCAUCCUUACUGAAGACAACAGGGAUGCAGCAUGUCUCUUGGAAGUUAUGUGAGGAUCUGGUCUCACACCUUACCCCGAGAGAGCCCUGAAGGGCCCAGGAUGUCCACAAAGAAGCUGAGGGGGCUGGACAUGCACCUGGCAGAGGCCUCCACAGCCCCUGUGAAGCCUGCUGUGGACUCACUUCAAUCAAGCAUCCUCACCACCUUCUCCAAUUUUCAUCACCUCCCUUGAAAGAAACACAGUUUAUUACUCUCAUAGCAGCCUUCACGGUGUAUGAGCUGGAAACAGACCGUGCAAGACUCUCUAGGGUGUAAACAGUCUAUUCUUGUGCUUCUCUGAGUAUUUGGAGGAAAAGAACCAGAUUUGGAGGAGGUUGGUUGGUUUCUUGUUUGGUUUUGUUUUUCCUAAUCUAUUGUAGACCAACACUAUUAAAAACUACAAAAUAAAUGAAUUGC